rnacentral:rRNA from 1 species
UGGGGAAUAUUGGACAAUGGGCGAAAGCCUGAUCCAGCCAUGCCGCGUGUGUGAAGAAGGCCUUUUGGUUGUAAAGCACUUUAAGUGGGGAGGAAAAGCUUGUGGUUAAUACCCAUAAGCCCUGACAUUACCCACAGAAUAAGCACCGGCUAACUCUGUGCCAGCAGCCGCGGUAAUACAGAGGGUGCAAGCGUUAAUCGGAAUUACUGGGCGUAAAGCGCGCGUAGGUGGUUAUUUAAGUCAGAUGUGAAAGCCCCGGGCUUAACCUGGGAACUGCAUCUGAUACUGGAUAACUAGAGUAGGUGAGAGGGGAGUAGAAUUCCAGGUGUAGCGGUGAAAUGCGUAGAGAUCUGGAGGAAUACCGAUGGCGAAGGCAGCUCCCUGGCAUCAUACUGACACUGAGGUGCGAAAGCGUGGGUAGCAAACAGGAUUAGAUACCCUGGUAGUCCACGCCGUAAACGAUGUCUACCAGUCGUUGGGUCUUUUAAAGACUUAGUGACGCAGUUAACGCAAUAAGUAGACCGCCUGGGGAGUACGGCCGCAAGGUUA